UUUUACCACAACCAACCCUGAACAGAAGUCAGAGGUUUACAAGUCACUGAAGUGUGAAGUGGUGAAUCUGUACACAGACGAAGUCCGGCUGUUUGUGUUCAGGCCUCAGUUCUCUGGGGAAAAAUCAGACGUUGUAUAUUUGAUGAGAUGCAUCGUUGUAUCUAUCAGUUUGGCAGCUCUCAUCAUUUCUGUUGUUAGAGUGGAAAUCUGGGCAAAAACUGAAGAAAACAAAAUAAAGAUUCCUGGGAUUGUGGAGAGUGAUGAAGAUGAAGAUGAAGAAAUGGUGAUCUAUGAGGAAAUUGGAGAUUUUUGUUCUUCUGUGCUGCCGAAACAAUGAACAACUUUAACACCAACUCCCCAGAAAAUACCCAAAGUCUC